AAAUGUCAAUGCUGAUCAUUCUGGAACCGUCAUCGUCUGCAUACGGCAUAAAACAGUAGAAAAAUAAUGUUAAUUUAAAAAAAAAAUCCCAAAAAUGGUGCAAUAAUUGUUUCUGAGCUCGUGUCCUACUGAAUUCCGGAAGCUGGGCAGGAAAUGUAAUAAUUAAAGGAGUUCGAUUUUCCUGGUUCCUGGCUUUCCUUUGCGCAAGAUAGCUGGAAUUUAUAAGAAGUGCCGGCUCC